CUGUGGCUCCGAUUCAGUCCCUGUCCCAGGGACGUCCAUAGGCCAUGUGGCCAUUAAGAAAGAAAAAAGAACACGAGUGACAUGAUUUUGGUCAGGUUCUAGACCUGUGCUGUCCACUAAAGUAGUCAGGAGCCAAAAAUGGCUACUGAGCCGAGAUGAGUCACAUGGGAUGUACAUGCACUGCUGCCCUUCCCCUGACAGAUGGGGGAUGUGGGUUGAGCAGUAAAGUCUGAGAAACACAUGCACUGCUGUCACAGCUUCCUCAGGUGAAGGGGCAAGUGGUUUCAGUUAAAUCUGGGGUAGAUGUGCAAGCUGUCACAGCCUCCUCAGGUAAGGAAACUUGUGAUCAGGUCUGAGGUAUACAUGUCAUGCUGUCAACAGCCUCCUCAGGUGAAGGGGCAUAUGAUAUGGGUCACUUCUGAGGUACACGUGCACUGCUAACACAGCCUCCUCAACUGAGGAGACACAUACUGACUGUUACACCUGAGGGACAAGUACACUGUUAUCACAUUCUCCUCAAGGAGUGAGGAGAUGGGUGGGGACUGAUCACCUGUGAAGAACACUUGCAGUUCUGAAAUAGCCUCCCCAGGUGAGGAGAUCUGUGGUAUCUGUCUGAGGCAAACGUGCAUGUUGUCACAGAUGUCUCAGGUGAGGAGACAAGAGGUGAUUGGUCAGUCUGAGGUAAAUGCACAUGCUGUACAGGCGCCUUAAGUGAGGAGACAUGUGGUGAAUGAUCACCUGUGAAACACACGUGCAAUGCUGUAACAGCCUCCUCAGGUGAGGAGACGUGUGGUGACUGGUCAAGCCAAAGAAUUAUGUGCAGUCCUCCCACAACCUCCUCAAGUGUAGAAGCAUUAGAAUUGAUCACGUCUGAGAUAAAUGUGCAUGUGGUAAUAGCUUUUCACGUGAGGAGACGUGAUUGGUCAGGUAUGAGAUAAAUGUGCCUGCUGUCUCAGCCUCCUUAAGAGAGGAGACACGUGGUAACUAGUCCUGUGUGAGCUACAUGUGUGUGCGGUACUGUCCCAGGCUCCUCAGGUGAGGAGACGUAGGGUGAUUAGUCAGGUCUGAGGUAAAUGUCCAUGCUCUCUCAGCCUCCUCCAUGGAGGAGAUGCCUGCUGACGUGUGAGGAACAUGUGCAUUGCUUUAAUAGCCUCCUCAGGUGAAGAAGCUUUUUUUUUGUCUUUUGAGGGCCGCUCCCAUGGCAUAUGGAUAUGGAAGUUACCAGGCUAGGGGGUUAAUCAGAGCUGUACCCACCACCCUACACCACAGCCACAGCAGUAUGAGAUCCAAGCCGCUUCUUUGAACUACACCACAGCUCAUGACAAUGCCGGAUCCUUAACCUGCUGAUCGAAGCCAGGGAUUGAACCUGCGUCCUCCUGGACGCUAGU
rnacentral:lncRNA from 1 species